CAAAAUUUUGGGAUUAAAAACAGUUCGGACCCCUCCAAAAUAUGCAAAAUUUUGUUGAAAUUUUAAACCUUGGCUCGAAUAUGGGCUGUAAUGCUAAAAAAAGAAUAUGGGCUGCAAUAAAUACAUUAAGAAUGAGCAAAUGGGCAGUAAAUCUUUUCCUAUUUUUUUUUAUUUUUAAUGAUAAAGCGAUUAGUGCUUCUGCCCGGCCGCUCACCGUCGCGGCGCUUUUGCAAAAAACUCCCUGUUUUCCGGAUAAUUUAACCCGCCGUCCCUACAUAAGUGAAUCCAGGAAAACGUUUCGAUUUUGCGAAUUAACCCCUGCAUUCUAUAAGAAUUCUGCUCGUGCUCCUUUCAUCAUCUUAUCCGUAACUCCAACCUGUCGCGCACGCGCACAGACUGCACCCGCCGCGGGGACGCCGCAGCACCAUGGCCGCCAUCGGCGCGGCCGUCUCCGUCCCGGACGCAGCGCCCGACCUCCACCUCGUCGCGCACCAGUACGAACAGCUCCUCCACCUGUUGCCUCCGCGGACGCACGCCGCGUUGCCCGUCCACCCGGCGGUCGUCGCGCGUUGCGUGUUCGCCCACAUGCUGGAGGCCGAGGCGCCCCCGUCCGAGGCCACCAUCACCUCGCUCGGUCGCGUCGUCGCCGCAGACGUCGAGGGCGCUGAUGACGCCUUUAGGCUCGUCUCCACCAUGCGGCAGAAGUACGGCAUCGCGCUGCGCCUCCGAUCCUACAGCCCCGUGCUUGCCGUAAUCCGGCGUCUGGCAAGGCCUACGCGGUCGAGGCCCUCAUGGCGGCCUCCGCUGUAUCGCCGGAAGAGCCCGAGCUCGCCGUGCUCCUUGAGGUCAGCACAAAGGUCAGGGACGCAGACAAGGUGUAUGAGUAUAUGCACAAGCUGCGGCGAGCUGUCGGCUGUGUGAUAGAGGAGACCGCCAAGGUCUUGGAGGGGCGGUUCCAGAGCGAGAAGGCGCAAUUGCUCGUAAGCCCGAGUGGGAUGUGUGUCAGGUUAAGGGCGCCCUUGUGGCGAACGGCGGUGGGUGCCAUCAGCUGGGGUGGCUUCGAACCGGACCAUGGAUGGUGCAGCGGGUUGUCAGAUAAAUUCUUCUCGGCAUCUUAUAUUCUAUAUCGUAUACAGGUGCCUCGGUCGUCCAAACAUUGCUGAGGUGAAUAUGCUGCAGCUAUGUGCUGGACAAUGUCGCCACCGCUGAAUUCGCCGGAAGAUAUCCGCCAUCCGAACGUGCUCCACCUGAGGAGUAGGACACACCUUUCUGCAGAUACGUGUCCACAUGCAUCAUGCUUUAAGUAUCUGCUUUCAUGGGGUAACUCACUCGGUAUGUUUCUUAAGAGGAUGUGACUAACUGGAAAAUAUUUUAUGGCUGACAACAUGAGUAAGCAUGUAAUAAAAGUUUAAGUUUUGGUGUUUGCUAAAUUUCGGUUCUGAUUUGGAAGAUACAUACAUUAUUUUUUGAGUUUGCUUUACUUAGAGUAUGAACUGAUGCUUUUCAAAGAUACACGUUCAAGCUGAAGAGUUAAGUGUAUUAGCUUGGCUUGGACUCGGGGGUUUGUCCAAACGUAGCUUUAUGGUUUUUACUCUACGUAUGCAAUUACAAUCUUCACAAAUAAGGAUGGAGAGGGGAAGAAAAAUGUUGGUGGACAAAAAAAGAAAGUGCCUAGAACGUGCAAGAAUUUUAAGCAGGUUGGCUUCCAUGAUAGCGUAAUUGCCCUAACAAUAACUAAGAAAACUACUGGUACUUUUCAUGGCCAUACAAUUUAUUUUUCUUUCAGAAAUGUUGAUACACACACAAACUUAUUUGUUUAUGUCAGACUGCAGGUCUUGUUCCAGCUCCAGGACGCAUUUCGGCACGACAACUUGGCGUUGAAGCUCAUGUGUUGGACGGAUUUUACAUGAACUUUGUGCUUUAUAUUUCCUAGAAGAUUAUCAUUUUAUUUCGGAAUAUUGUAGGUCUGUUGAAUAUUUAUAUCUGAAUAUUGUAUUUUUGAAAAUUUAUGUCUGAAUAUUCAUCAAAAUGGCCAUGGUGGAAUUUUGUUUCGCAAUGCAAGAAUAUUAUUUCUCACAGCAA